rnacentral:rRNA from 1 species
GACAGAGGGUGCAAACGUUGUUCGGAAUUACUGGGCGUAAAGCGCGUGUAGGCGGCAACGCAAGUCGGGCGUGAAAUCCCACGGCUCAACCGUGGAAGUGCACUCGAAACUGCGUAGCUAGAGUCCUGGAGAGGAAGGUGGAAUGCUUGGUGUAGAGGUGAAAUUCGUAGAUAUCAAGCGGAACACCGGUGGCGAAGGCGGCCUUCUGGACAGUGACUGACGCUGAGACGCGAAAGCGUGGGGAGCAAACAGG